rnacentral:RNase_P_RNA from 1 species
UAAUACCUGGCGGGGGAAACCCUAGGGAUAGUGCCACAGAAAAUAUACCGCCAUAACAUGGCAAGGGUGAAAAGGUGUGGUAAGAGCACACCGGUUCUAUUGGUAACAAUGAACGCUGGAAAACCCCACUGGGAGCAAGACUAAGUAGAGAUGACAUUGUUGCAAAACUAAAAGCCGUCUUUGGCUAGUCAUCAGGGUUAGUUGCUUGAGCUUAAGAGUGAUCUUAAGCCUAGAGAAAUGAUAAGUUUUAAUGACAGAACCCGGCUUAUAGUUCGUCUAGCAAA